rnacentral:rRNA from 1 species
CAGAGCCGCGGUAACACAGAGGGUGCGAGCGUUAAUCGGAUUUACUGGGCGUAAAGCGUGCGUAGGCGGCUUCUUAAGUCGGAUGUGAAAUCCCUGAGCUUAACUUAGGAAUUGCAUUCGAUACUGGGAAGCUAGAGUAUGGGAGAGGAUGGUAGAAUUCCAGGUGUAGCGGUGAAAUGCGUAGAGAUCUGGAGGAAUACCGAUGGCGAAGGCAGCCAUCUGGCCUAAUACUGACGCUGAGGUACGAAAGCAUGGGGAGCAAACAGGAUUAGAUACCCGCGUAGUCCCUGUCUCUUAUACA